rnacentral:rRNA from 1 species
CAGUCUGCAACCCGACUGCACGAAGCUGGAAUCGCUAGUAAUCGCGGAUCAGCAUGCCGCGGUGAAUACGUUCCCGGGCCUUGUACACACCGCCCGUCACACCAUGAGAGUUGGAGAUACCCGAAGCCUGUGAGCUAACAAACGAGGCAGCAGUCGAAGGUAGAAUCAAUGAUUGGGGUGAAGUCGUAACAAGGUACC